GGCCUGGUGGUCUAGUAGUAUGAUUCCUUCUUAGGGUUAUAUGAUUUAAUUAUGUAAUCAAUUGGAGGAGGUCCCGGGUUCAAUUCCCGGCCAGGCCC